UACGGGGGGGGGUAAGCGUUGUUCGGAAUUACUGGGCGUAAAGGGCUCGUAGGCGGCCAACUAAGUCAUACGUGAAAUCCCUCAGCUUAACUGGGGAACUGCGUGUGAUACUGGAUGGCUUGAGUUUGGGAGAGGGAUGCGGAAUUCCAGGUGUAGCGGUGAGAUGCGUAGAUACUCGGAGGAACACCGGUGGCGAAGGCGGCAUCCUGGACCAACACUGACGCUGAGGAGCGAAAGCCAGGGGAGCAAACGGG
rnacentral:rRNA from 1 species